rnacentral:lncRNA from 1 species
AAAGAGACGAGACUUUUUGCCGAAAUUUCGACAGAGUCUCCCUUGAAAAAUGGACAUUCCCAAAAUUUUCAACAUUUUCAAACACAUUUAAAAUUCUCAUAUGGUAGCAUACACAAGAUAAUAUCAUGCAAUUUACAUAUCCGGCCUUACAAUCAAUCCUAACAUGGACAAUAUCAGAGCAGUAUAAAGAAUUUUAGUUUACAAAUGAAAAUAAAUUUCAACAGAAGAGAAACGAUUAAAAGUUUAUCCUACAUAAG